rnacentral:rRNA from 1 species
AGGGUUUGAUCAUGGCUCAGAACGUACGCUGGCGGCACGCCUAACACAUGCAAGUCGAACGCAGUAGCAAUACUGAGUGGCAAACGGGUGAGUAUAAUGUGGGAAUCUGCCUUUUGGUUUGGAAUAACACGGGGAAACUUGUGCUAAUACCGGAUAAGCCCUUACGGGGAAAGUUUUAACGCCGAAAGAUGAGCCUGCACUUGAUUAGCUAGUUGGUAAGGUAAAGGCUUACCAAGGCAACGAUCAAUAGCUGUUCUUAGAGGAAGACCAGCCACAUUGGGACUGAGACACGGCCCAGACUCCUACGGGAGGCAGCAGUGGGGAAUCUUGCACAAUGGGGGAAACCCUGAUGCAGCGAUGCCGCGUGAGUGAAGAAGGCCCUUGGGUUGUAAAACUCUUUCGUCGGGGAAGAAAAUGACUGUACCCGAAUAAGAAGGUCCGGCUAACUUCGUGCCAGCAGCCGCGGUAAUACGAAGGGACCUAGCGUAGUUCGGAAUUACUGGGCUUAAAGAGCUCGUAGGUGGUUAAAAAAGUUGAUGGUGAAAUCCCAAGGCUCAACCUUGGAACUGCCAUCAAAACUUUUUAGCUAGAGUGUGAUAGAGGUAAGUGGAAUUUCUAGUGUAGAGGUGAAAUUCGUAGAUAUUAGAAAGAACACCAAAUGCGAAGGCAACUUACUGGGUCACUACUGACACUGAGGAGCGAAAGCUAGGGGAGCAAACAGGAUUAGAUACCCUGGUAGUCCUAGCUGUAAACGAUGAACACUAGGUGUCGGGGGAAUCGACCCCUUCGGUGUCGUAGCUAACGCGUUAAGUGUUCCGCCUGGGGAGUACGCACGCAAGUGUGAAACUCAAAGGAAUUGACGGGGGCCCGCACAAGCGGUGGAGUAUGUGGUUUAAUUCGAUGCAACGCGAAGAACCUUACCAGGGUUUGACAUCCUGCGAACCUCUUAGAAAUUUGAGGGUGCCUUCGGGAAUGCAGUGACAGGUGGUGCAUGGCUGUCGUCAGCUCGUGUCGUGAGAUGUUGGGUUAAGUCCCGCAACGAGCGCAACCCACGUUUUUAGUUGCCAGCAUUUAGUUGGGCACUCUAGAAAGACCGCCGGUGAUAAACCGGAGGAAGGUGUGGAUGACGUCAAGUCAUCAUGCCCCUUACACCCUGGGCUACACACGUACUACAAUGCUACGGACAAAGGGCAGCAAACUCGCGAGAGCUAGCAAAUCCCAUAAACCGUGGCUCAGUUCAGAUCGUAGGCUGCAACUCGCCUACGUGAAGUAGGAAUCGCUAGUAAUCGCAGGUCAGCAUACUGCGGUGAAUACGUUCCCGGGCCUUGUACACACCGCCCGUCACACCAUGGAAGUUGGCCAUGCCCGAAGUCGUUACUCCAACCCUUGUGGAGGAGGACGCCGAAGGUGGGGCUAAUGACUGGGGUGAAGUCAUAACAAGGUAGCCGUA